CCUACGGGAGGCAGCAGUGGGGAAUAUUGGACAAUGGGCGAAAGCCUGAUCCAGCAAUGCCGCGUGAGUGAUGAAGGCCUUCGGGUUGUAAAGCUCUGUCGGGAGGGACGAAAAAACAGCUUAACAAACUGUAUUGACGGUACCUCCAAAGGAAGCACCGGCUAACUCUGUGCCAGCAGCCGCGGUAAUACAGAGGGUGCAAGCGUUGUUCGGAAUUACUGGGCGUAAAGCGCGUGUAGGUGGCGAGAUAAGUCGGGUGUGAAAUCCCUUGGCUUAACCAAGGAAGUGCAUUCGAUACUGUUUCGCUUGAGUAUCGGAGGGGUCGGCGGAAUUCCCGGUGUAGAGGUGAAAUUCGUAGAUAUCGGGAGGAACACCUGUGGCGAAGGCGGCCGACUGGACGAUCACUGACACUGAGACGCGAAAGCGUGGGUAGCAAACAGGAUUAGAUACCCUGGUAGUCCACGCUGUAAACGAUGAGUGCUAGACGUCAUGGGUAUUGACCCCUGUGGUGUCGAAGUUAACACGUUAAGCACUCCGCCUGGGGGGUACGGUCGCAAGAUUAAAACUCAAAGGAAUUGACGG
rnacentral:rRNA from 1 species